rnacentral:rRNA from 1 species
GAGUUUGAUCUUGGCUCAGAUUGAACGCUGGCGGCAGGCUUAACACAUGCAAGUCGAGCGGGGGAGAUUGCUUCGGUAAUUGACCUAGCGGCGGACGGGUGAGUAAUACUUAGGAAUCUGCCUAUUAAUGGGGGACAACAUCUCGAAAGGGAUGCUAAUACCGCAUACGCCCUACGGGGAAAGCAGGGGAUCACUUGUGACCUUGCGUUAAUAGAUGAGCCUAAGUCGGAUUAGCUAGUUGGUGGGGUAAAGGCCUACCAAGGCGACGAUCUGUAGCGGGUCUGAGAGGAUGAUCCGCCACACUGGGACUGAGACACGGCCCAGACUCCUACGGGAGGCAGCAGUGGGGAAUAUUGGACAAUGGGGGGAACCCUGAUCCAGCCAUGCCGCGUGUGUGAAGAAGGCCUUAUGGUUGUAAAAGCACUUUAAGCGAGGAGGAGGCUCCUGUAGUUAAUACCUACAGAGAGUGGACGUUACUCGCAGAAUAAGCACCGGCUAACUCUGUGCCAGCCGCCGCAACG